rnacentral:rRNA from 1 species
UACGGGAGGCAGCAGUGGGGAAUAUUGCACAAUGGGCGCAAGCCUGAUGCAGCCAUGCCGCGUGUAUGAAGAAGGCCUUCGGGUUGUAAAGUACUUUCAGUCGUGAGGAAGGUGUUAAGGUUAAUAACCUUAGCAAUUGACGUUAGCGACAGAAGAAGCACCGGCUAACUCCGUGCCAGCAGCCGCGGUAAUACGGAGGGUGCGAGCGUUAAUCGGAAUUACUGGGCGUAAAGGGCACGCAGGCGGUUAAUUAAGUUGGAUGUGAAAUCCCCGGGCUUAACCUGGGAAUGGCAUUCAAGACUGGUUAGCUAGAGUCUUGUAGAGGGGGUAGAAUUCCAUGUGUAGCGGUGAAAUGCGUAGAGAUGUGGAGGAAUACCGGUGGCGAAGGCGGCCCCCUGGACAAAGCUGGACACUCAUGUGCGAAAGCGUGGGGAGCAAACAGGGAUUAGAUACC